AGGAGUCAGCUUUUCACAUCGUGCCCAGUCAGGAAUAAGACAGGGGUGAAUUCUCAUAGUCACCUUCUUUUUCCUUUUAUUCAGCCUAUGGAGUGAUGCUGCUCACAGUUAAGUGAUUAAAUCAGAUAAACUUGUUUUGGGCUCAGCUCCAAGUUGAAGGCUGAUGGGUUUUAUGAAAGAUCACCAGAUGUGGAGAGCAAAGUUCAAAUAAAAGAAUGAUGGAGAGAUUGUGAAAAUGCCAUGUUUGGAGUGAUGAAGAAGCUCAUCCCCAAGUUUUUAUGCAGGUGGCCUGCUAUUUACAACUCCCCAUCCCUCCUCCUGCUUCCUGCUUGCCAAGCCCCCUCCAUCCCACAUCCCUUCCUCCAAAAGGUUGGACUCCUGGAGCUCAGCCUGGUGCUUGGUUGUGGAUCUCUGCAUCUGCUUUCAUCAGUUACUGGAUGAAGGCUCUACGGUGACAGUUAAG